ACCCGUUCCCAUACCGAACACGGAAGUUAAGCUCUUCAGCGCCGAUGGUAGUUGGGGGUCUCCCCCUGUGAGAGUAGGACGUCGCUGGGC
rnacentral:rRNA from 1 species